CUUGGUCAUUUAGAGGAAGUAAAAAGUCGUAACAAGGUCUCCGUUGGUGAACCAGCGGAGGGAUCAUUACCGAGUACUAUAACUCAUAACCCUUUGUGAACCUUUAUACCUGUUGCUUCGGCGGCGCGCCUCCCGGGGCGUGCCCGCCGGCAUUAUCAGAAUCUCUGUUCGAACCCGACGAUACAUCUGAGUGUUCUAAGCGAACUGUUAAAACUUUCAACAACGGAUCUCUUGGCUCCAGCAUCGAUGAAGAACGCAGCGAAACGCGAUAUGUAAUGUGAAUUGCAGAAUUCAGUGAAUCAUCGAAUCUUUGAACGCACAUGGCGCCUUCCAGUAUCCUGGGAGGCAUGCCUGUCCGAGCGUCGUUUCAACCCUCGAGCCCCCGUGGCCCGGCGUUGGGGAUCUGCCCAGGCAGUCCCCGAAAACCAGUGGCGGACCCGUUGGGCCCUUCCUUUGCGUAGUAACAUCUGCCUCGCAUCGGGAGCCUGCGGGCUAUCCGGCCUCUAAACCCCCCUCAAGCCCGCUCCGGCGGCACCAAGGUUGACCUCGGAUCAGGUAGGAAUACCCGCUGAACUUAAGCAUAUCAAUAAGCGGAGGA
rnacentral:rRNA from 1 species